AGAAUCAACGCUGGCGGCGUGCCUAACACAUGCAAGUCGCACGAGAAAGGGGCUUCGGCUCUGAGUAAAGUGGCGCACGGGUGAGUAACACGUGACUAAUCUACCCUCGAGUGGGGAAUAACCUAGAGAAAUCUGGGCUAAUACCGCAUAACACUUACGAGUCAAAGCAGUAAUGCGCUUGGGGAGGAGGUCGCGGCCGAUUAGCUAGUUGGCGGGGUAAUGGCCCACCAAGGCGAUGGUCGGUA
rnacentral:rRNA from 1 species